rnacentral:rRNA from 1 species
UACGUAGGGUGCAAGCGUUGUCCGGAAUUAUUGGGCGUAAAGGGCUCGUAGGCGGUCCAUCGCGUCGGGAGUGAAAAGCUGGGGCUCAACUCCAGUCCUGCUUCCGAUACGGGUGGACUAGAGGGUAGGCAGGGGAGAACGGAAUUCCUGGUGGUAGCGGUGAAAUGCGCAGAUAUCAGGAGGAACACCGGUGGCGAAGGCGGCAUCCUGGCCAUGUCCUGACGCUCAGGGGCGAAAGCGUGGGGAGCAACCGG